AGAAGGAGGGCGCACGGCUACAUUACCAACACACACAUACACACUCCGGUUACAUUACACUGUGGAAGCAGUGCGGGAGCAGUGGGAAGUCGGUCCACGGCGAUUUUCCACUCUAUCUUCUUCUUUUUUUUAUGAUUGUUUUACGACUUUUUUUUUCUUGUCGUCGUUGCUUUUAUCCCUUCCUCAUCCCGAGCAGCUCUGAGGAUGUAUUUGUGAGGCUUCUUAAGUGUCCAAACUGUCUUUUCUUCUAAUUCCAUCCCAUCAGUUUCACCUCCAGACGCUGUUUUUGGUUUUCUCAGCUUUUUUUUUUCUUUAUCUCCUUUCCUCUCACUCAAGGACGCUUCUUCACUUUGGACCACCGAGGAGGAAAUACUUUCACACUUUUGAAUUUUUUUGAUCUGAAUGCACUUUGAUUUGUUUUACGGGACGUCGUCGGUUGUUGACUGAAAAAACUAAGUGAUGUGGUUCUAACUCGUGGUUCGUCUCCUCUUUUUUUAUUUUCUCCUCAUGACAUUGAGGCCAGACUCUCAUUCUGAGCCUUUACAUCUUCGCUUUUUUCGGCUCCGAGUUUGAGUUUCGAGGCAGAAGCUGCUCCACACGCCUCCUGUUGCUUCACUACCAACACCGGCAGCGUGUUUGCGCGCCGCGUCUCCUUCCACCAAGUGACUCUCGGUCGGCGCUCCGGUGUGAGAGAGAGGGGUGGAUUUUAGUGGGAGUUUUCCUCCCUCUUUUCUGCCCCACACUUUUGUUGUCUCCGGUUUUCUUUUGAACGAACACAAACGCUGAAACAUGCCUCAGUUGUCGGGCGGCGGCGGAGACCCGGAGCUUUGCGCCACGGAUGAAAUGAUCCCGUUCAAAGACGAGGGAGACCCGCAGAAGGAGCAGAUCUUCGCCGAGCUGAGUCACUCGGAGGAGGAAGGAGACCUGGCAGACAUCAAGUCCUCUCUGGUCAACGAGUCGGAGAGCAGCCCCAACAGCAACAACCACCACGACGCAGCUAGACAGUCCCAAAUACCGCAAGAUUCAUAUCAUGAAAAACACAGAGACCAUCCGGAAGAUGGAAAACAUCAAGACAUGUACAGUAAAGGCCAUCCGUACCCGGGCUACCCAGGUUACAUCAUGAUGAGCAACAUGAACGACUCCUACAUGAACAAUGGCUCCCUCUCGCCGCCCAUGCCCAGAACGUCCAACAAAGUCCCCGUGGUGCAGCCGUCCCAUGCAGUCCACCCACUCACCCCACUGAUCACAUACAGCGACGAGCACUUCGCUCCGGGGUCCCAUUCUGGACAUCACCCCCAGGACAACAACAAACAAGGAAUGAGGCAUCACCCUGGACCAGACAUGCCCAACUUCUACUCCCUGUCUCCUGGAGGAGUGGGCCAGAUCACGCCCCCGCUGGGAUGGUUUUCACACCACAUGGUGCCCGGCCCCCCAGGUCCCCACGCCACAGGGAUCCCCCACCCGGCCAUCGUCAACCCACAGGUCAAACAUGAGCCUCCGCAUGAAACUGACAUCAUGCACAUGAAACCACAGCAUGAACAGAGAAAGGAGCAGGAGCCCAAAAGACCGCACAUCAAGAAGCCGCUAAACGCCUUCAUGCUCUACAUGAAAGAGAUGCGUGCCAACGUGGUCGCCGAGUGCACGCUGAAGGAGAGCGCCGCCAUCAAUCAGAUCCUGGGACGAAGGUGGCAUGCUUUAUCUCGGGAAGAGCAAGCUAAGUAUUAUGAGUUAGCCCGCAAGGAACGGCAGCUCCACAUGCAGCUCUACCCAGGCUGGUCCGCUCGAGACAACUAUUGCUUUGUGGUGUUUAUCUGCCUCCCCUCGGACACCGACAGCAUCCCUCCUCCUUCUGCCUCCGUUGCUCCACUGCCAGAAUGCCUCGCUGAGGGGGAGACAGUUUCACAGCUCUGCUCCCAGUGAAGCACAGCACAGUUAAAGAUAUACAGCAGCAGCUAGUGACAGUUAGCCCAGUUCCCGUUUCAUUUCCAGCUUUGUUAGUACAAGUAUAUUUGACGGGUAGUAAGGGUGGGGGGAGGUGACUUUCUACUCGGCAUAUAUGAAAGAUAAAGAUGUGGUUGAUGCAAAGCACGUCUUACAAGUACAUUUUGAGCGUUUCUGUGACCGCUCCCUCAGUCGAAAUGUGUGCAUCAUGCCUGGAAACACCCGAAAUAGGUAACACACACACUGGCGUGGAGAGCGUGUAGCAUUCAUAGUUUUGCUGUGUACCCCCUCUCUCAUCCUUUCUCUCACCCACACUCACUUAGCCUCUCUUCUUCCCUGUCUGCCGCAGCAGUAGAAGGUAGAUUAGCUCAUGAAUAAGUGGAUUAGCAGACUUUGCGGCAGGAAACCAAAGUGCUGCUCAUAUUUGACUAGAACGACUCUACACUGCUAUCUAUACCUAUAGUCUCCCCCCUGGGGAUUUAGCAUAAGCUAUAAAUCCUUACACACUCCCACCACCUCAGUGGGAAAAGAGUGGCGCUCUUUACAGUCAUUGAGCUAGACUAGCCUAAUUAUAGUGAGCGUUUUUAAUUGCACUUCACGUUAAUGUUUGUCAUUUGGGGGACUUCAAAGGUAGACGUGGGGAGGUCACAACAGCCGAACGAGCUGCCUUUUUUUUUUUUGUCUGUGAUGGUCAGUAGGACUCAGAAUGACAGAAACUACUACUAGCAGUAAGUAGAACGCACUUAAAUCAGCCUCUUGAUGGUCAGUCCCUCUCAGUGCUGCAGUUUGCGGUGGAGUCCGGAGUCUGGGGGAUGCUGGUUAGAUGCCCAGCAGGGGAUGAGUGAACAUGGCAGUCAGCAGCAGGAUAUCAGAGUGGUCUAGUGAGCGUGAGUGCUGGAGCCACACUUUAUGUGUUCCUCUGUAUAUUUUUUAGGGAAAGAAGAAGAAGCGGAAGAGGGAGAAGAUGCAGGAAUCGGCCACAGGAGGAAAGCGGAACAGUUUCUCCACAUGCAAAGCAAAGGCAGCAGCUACGGGCCCUCUGCUAGAGAUGGAGGCCUGUUAAGAUUCCAUGAAGACCCUUAAAAUCUCCAAACUGAAGCCUCCAGUUCUCAGAGGACCCCGUCCCACCCCCACCACCGUCCCACCCCACACAACCCCACUCCCCUUUCUACUUCAACACGGUCACAUGCCGCCACCACCACCGAGACAAAAACACUUCACUGUUUGACUCCGCUCCCUUCCUGAAGGCGCCUGCUGUAGAGACACCGAACUGAACUGAACAAGACAAUCAUGCUUAGAAGGAGCACCCUCACGUAGCCGCGCUCCGACUGAAAAACCCAGACAACAUCAGUUUGACAUCUGUGUUUUUGUCAGUUUUCCUUUAAAUAUCAGCUUUACUGCAAUCCGAGGCACUGCACUGAAAAACAGCAGCAAUUGUGAUGUGCGCACAAACUUCUCCCCCCGCACCGCCCAAACACUCCUGUUACUAAGUUAUUCUAAGUUAUUUGUCACCUCUGUUCCUUUGUACAGUUCAUUAGGCCGACAUUCGCCCCCCGAACACCCUUCCCCUCCUUUUACUUUCUCUCUCUCACUGGAUUUUUUGAGACCAUUUGGGGUUUCGCCCGACCGACCAAACACCUCUUUUUAGACUGCACUAAGGAAGAUGGAGGGAUCUCAUCUUGUCUAAGAAACGUCCUCAAGACGCCAUUUUAGUUUGUCGCUGACCAGUUGGUGCAAAAAAUGGAUCAACAUUUUUUGAUUUGCUUUUCAUUUUAGACUGAAUUUUAUUUUGAAUGCUUUUUUGUAUCUUGAACCCUUGUUUCAAUUUCUUGGUGUAUAUUUCAGUGAUUUUUUUUUUUUUAAUAUUGUUUUUUUUUAUAUAGUGGUAUAUAUGAAAAUAAGCUUUGGACACAGGAAAGCCAUUUUUCUUGUUGAAGCGUCUUGCAGAAAAUUGAAACUUAAGGCUUCUUUUGAUAACUAUUUGUAACAAAUAGUGACCUCGAGUCUUGCUCAGAUGUAAAAUAAUGCUCAGUAUGUGUACUUUUUAAAACUGUCAGGAUAUGUCAAUUUUCUUGGUAUUUUUGCAGGCAACAUUAGGACAAAGGCGAGAGUGACAGCUCAGAGGCCUAUAUUUUAUUGUUCUAAAACAUGACAAAUGAAGCAGAUAUAUAUAUUUACCCCAGCACUUGACAGUCUUUCUUUUACUGCAAUGGACCUUUGUCUUUUCUCUCUGGUAGCUAAUAGUGUGGUCUUUAGCCAUGUUGUUUAUUCCAUGCAAACAUCUCUGUAACAUUUUGAUUUUAAUGCUCUAUUUUAGUAUUACUUGAUGAAUUCCUUUUUUUAAUAUCAUAUUUUGGGUCACUGUCAUCUUGGUUAUAGCAUUUCGCUUCUCCAAGCGCUCAUAUUUGAAACGGUUUCAACAUGUUUCGUUUUGUUUUUGUUUUUGUUUUUUUAAAGAAAAAUAAAAAAAGGCACCAUUGGCUCGUUGGAUGAGUUGUGUUGGUGGAAAGACCGGAGCUACAUGUGCCAGAUGUAACA